UCUAACUUAAUCAUACUUUUUUGUGCUAACCUCACCUGGUGGGACCCAUGAUUUAGAUAGUCUGGAUUGACAAGCAUGCAUACAUGAUCCAUGUUGGAUUUUGCAUGAGUAUGAUCCACUACACUAUUACCAAAAUAUAAAAACACAAAAUAGAAAACAUAGUGCCUGUUUGGAUGCCACUUAAAAAUGAGCCAAUCUUAUUGAAGUUAAUCUUAUAUGUACACAUUAAAAGUAAUUUUGAUAACAAACAAUCAUGAUUUCUAAUGCAUAAUUAUGAUUGAGGGUGUGUUUAGUUGCACCAAAUAUCAGGAAUUUUCAAAUGUACACUCAAAUGAGUACUCAUUUUUAAGUGGGCAACCAAACAGGAUCUUCUCAUUUGGAGAGUAGAAAUGGUACCUUUAGACUCGAUUGCUACCAUUAUAUUUGUCAUCUCCCUAUCUACCUUACUUGGUUGCAACUACAAACUGGGUACUUCGCGAGCUUGCAUCUUGUCUCCCUCAAGUGAGUCUCUCUAACAUAAUUUCUAUUUAUAUUCAUUUGUUCCACAGUCAGUCUUUUGGGUGAUAUUCACUGGCAUGCAUAUGCAUAGUCAAACAAUCACUUGGCCCUAGAAAGCUUUCAAAACUCUUUCAACAGUCCCUAUCACCCAUCCCUUUUUAUCCACAUCAAAUAUCCUCAAAUAUUGUGUGAUGAAAUCUGUUAUAGAUAUAUGAUCUUUUGCUAAUUUUGAAAUAAAGAUAAAUUAGUAGAUCAGUUCCACUUUUAUGCAAAUGAGCUUAAUUAUGAUGUAUUCAUAGCUUUCAAAUCAGAACAUGAGCUCACUCUACAUGUCAUUAGAUAAAGGAUCAUAUAACUCCUCUUGGUUUGUUUUCAAUCUCAUAAACGAUUACUGAUUUUUCAAGCUUCUUCCAGCUUACAGAGUCGUUAGGUGCCUUCUAAUUAGUAACAGAUUGUGCAAUUUCUCAUCUGUUAGCAUUGAUUGUUUGAAUAUCUUGCUUUCAUAUCAAGAUUUCUCAAUUUUUUGUUCCCUCUUUUUCUUUUCUUUUUUUCUUUGUGAUUUUCACUGUUUAUAAGGAUACUAAUUCAUAUACAAAAGAAGGAGAAGAAGAAGAAUAAAGAAGUCGCUCAGGAAGGAAGAAGUGCAGCCACUUCAGCUGCUUACAGAACAUUGGCAUAGGAGCUCACUGAACAGCGGUUUCCUGCUCCCCGUAUCCUGGCGUUCAAAGACAUGCCUCAACAAUUGAAAGUGAGGCUUCUAGAAGAGUUGGGAGAGCAUGAUA